rnacentral:rRNA from 1 species
CCUACGGGGCGCAGCAGUGGGGAAUAUUGGACGAUGGGCGAAAGCCUGAUCCAGCCAUGCCGCGUGUGUGAAGAAGGCCUUCGGGUUGUAAAGCACUUUCAGUGGGGAAGAAAGCCUUGGGGCUAAUACCCUCGAGGAAGGACAUCACCCACAGAAGAAGCACCGGCUAACUCCGUGCCAGCAGCCGCGGUAAUACGGAGGGUGCGAGCGUUAAUCGGAAUUACUGGGCAUAAAGCGCGCGUAGGCGGUCUGAUAAGCCGGUUGUGAAAGCCCCGGGCUCAACCUGGGAACGGCAUCCGGAACUGUCAGGCUAGAGUGCAGGAGAGGAAGGUAGAAUUCCCGGUGUAGCGGUGAAAUGCGUAGAGAUCGGGAGGAAUACCAGUGGCGAAGGCGGCCUUCUGGACUGACACUGACGCUGAGGUGCGAAAGCGUGGGUAGCAAACAGGAUUAGAUACCGUGUAGUC